CAGAAAGCCACGGCUAACUACGUGCCAGCAGCCGCGGUAAUACGUAGGUGGCAAGCGUUAUCCGGAAUUAUUGGGCGUAAAGCGCGCGUAGGCGGUUUUUUAAGUCUGAUGUGAAAGCCCACGGCUCAACCGUGGAGGGUCAUUGGAAACUGGAAAACUUGAGUGCAGAAGAGGAAAGUGGAAUUCCAUGUGUAGCGGUGAAAUGCGCAGAGAUAUGGAGGAACACCAGUGGCGAAGGCGACUUUCUGGUCUGUAACUGACGCUGAUGUGCGAAAGCGUGGGGAUCAAACA
rnacentral:rRNA from 1 species